UGGUGGCGUGAUAAUAUUCAAUUUGCAUCCAAUUUAGGGAGGGACCACUCAUCAGUCAUCACACGACGUCUCCUACCUAGCUGCUAAUUUUUGUUCUUAUUACUAUAUGCCUUAAUUUCCAUAGCUGCGCGCUUUUCCUUCUUCACCUAUAUAUUAUCUCUUAUCUCUUAUCUUUUACACACACACACACACACACACACACACACACAUAUAUAUAUAUAUACAUAUAUAUUCCCAUUCACUUCAUGAAUGCUUAAUUUCUACCUCUAUUUAUACCCCCCCCGUUCCCCACUCUUUUUCCACAACAAAUUAAAUUUACCCAUCAUCUCCAUCACAUUUCACAUACCCUAGCUAAUCAGAGAGAAUUACAUAUAUAAAUUCUUGGCUUUUCUCUGCCGGCCGUCCGUGCAAUAGCCUCCGUUGAAGCUGCCAGCAUGAUCUAAACCUUCCUCGCCCUUAAAAAAGGAAAGAUCAGAUCAUGUGGUAGCUUCACCCGACGCUGCUUGCGCGUAAAACCCUAAUUUUGUUCUAGGGUUUCUCCUCUUGGAAAAAGAAGGUGCAGGGUCAAGUGACGUUAGCUGCAAAAUUCCAAUUCUUUAGGCUCCGGCGGCCGCUGAAUUAGACGUUUGUGGUCAGUUGCAUAUGUUUCUAGAUAGAGUUUUUGUUUACAAAAUUUAACUCAUUUAACUUUUAAUAUUUCUUAGAUAUAUAUAUAAUUCAUAUAUACAUUAAUUCUUCUUUUCUCUCUCUCUCUCUCUCUCUCUCUCUCUCUAUAUAUAUAUAUAUAUAUGUAUAAAUGGUGUAAUUUAAUAAAAUUUUGAUGAUGUUUCCACUCCCCUAUUGUUAUUUUGUUGAGACAUGAUAUGCAGCUUUUGAUGACAGCUAUAUACACAGGGGUUCCGGUGAAUAUAUAUUGUAGUAAGUGUUAGUACAGGGGUCUCUUUUUUUCUGUUUAGAAAUAUAUUUAUGUAAAAUUUAUUGUACAUAAAUGAAGUUGAUGACUAUAUAUAUAUAUAUAUUGAUGUGCAGCUGCCAGAAUGUGAUGUGAGUGGUGUAUGUAUGUACAUUUGUAUGUAUAUAUAUAGAGAUGAGAAUUAUGAGGUAGGUAGUGUAGGGUGUAGGGUGUG